AGAACGAACGCUGGCGGCAUGCCUAAUACAUGCAAGUCGAACGAAUGCCCUUCGGGGUGUUAGUGGCGCACGGGUGCGUAACGCGUGGGAAUCUGCCCUUGGGUUCGGAAUAACAGUUGGAAACGACUGCUAAUACCGGAUGAUGACGAAAGUCCAAAGAUUUAUCGCCAAGGGAUGAGCCCGCGUAGGAUUAGCUAGUUGGUGAGGUAAAGGCUCACCAAGGCAACGAUCCUUAGCUGGUCUGAGAGGAUGAUCAGCCACACUGGGACUGAGACACGGCCCAGACUCCUACGGGAGGCAGCAGUAGGGAAUAGUUGGACAAUGGG
rnacentral:rRNA from 1 species